rnacentral:rRNA from 1 species
GGCAUUUCGGCUUCCUAUAAUGCAGUCGAGCGAUGGAUUGAAACUUGGUUCCCGAAAGUUAGCGGCGGACGGGUGAGUAACACGUGGGAAACCUGCCCAUAAGACUGGGAUAACUCCGGGAAACCGGGGCUAAUACCGGAUAACAUUUUGAACUGCAUGGUUCGAAAUUGAAAGGCGGCUUCGGCUGUCACUUAUGGAUGGACCCGCGUCGCAUUAUCUAUUUGGUGAGGUAACGGCUCCCCAAGGCAACGAUGCGUACCCGACCUGAGAGGGUGAUCGGCCACACUGGGACUGAAACACGGCCCAGACUCCUACGGGAGGCAGCAGUAGGGAAUCUUCCGCAAUGGACGAAAGUCUGACGGAGCAACGCCGCGUGAGUGAUGAAGGUUUUCGGGUCGUAAAACUCUGUUGUUAGGGAAGAACAAGUGCUAUUUGAAUAAGCUGGCACCUUGACGGUACCUACCCAGAAAGCCACGGCUAAUUACGUGCCAUCACCCCGCGGUAAUACUUAAGUGGGCACGCGUUAUCCCAAAAUUAUUGGGCAUAAAGCGCGCGCAA